CUGGAUUUCAGUCAAUCAAAAACCACUGGAUGCAUUGGCACACACAUAUGGGCAAGAUUAAGCUGAAUUAAAAAAGAGCAGUGCAUACACUGAAUCAGAUUUCAGAACACCAAAAACAGCCGGUUUCAGUCAAAUGGCUGAUCUCGACAAGACAAAGACUGAAUUGGAUGGGGAGCUCAACAGUACAGGGCUUAGCCCCAAUCGCCGGCGCACUGGUUGGGCUCGCUGGGCGCCGGCACAGGACUGGAGACACCUGGGCGCGAAGACCGCGCCUAGCGGUGCACGAGGCCGCACAGCUGCGCGUACUACAGAUCAACGCCGUCGCUCGCGGCCAUCCAGCGCGGCCGUCUCGUGAUGCAUGAGGCCGUGCAGGAGCUGCUCGUGCACUCUGGUACGGAUCUACGCCGCCGCCCGCCUCCAUUAGCCGCCGUCUCUCGGUGCCCGCCGUCGCUCGCCUCCAUCCAGCGCCGUCUCUCGGUGCCCGCCGUUGCUCGCCUCCCUCCAACGCCGCCUAUUGCUACCCGCCGCCGCUCGUGUCGAGAGAGGGAGAGGCGAUAGAGUUGCGGGAGUGCGAGGAUAACGACCGGUUCCAUGUGCUCCGCUCGAUUUGGAGGUAUGAGCGCGUUCCGCAUCUGAGAGGAAUAUUCGGUUCGUGGGAACCAGUCGGUUACCGUUCCAGCUCUAUACUCCUACC
rnacentral:rRNA from 1 species